UACGGGGGGGGCAAGCGUUGUUCGGAAUUACUGGGCGUAAAGGGCUCGUAGGCGGCCAACUAAGUCCGACGUGAAAUCCCCAGGCUUAACCUGGGAACUGCGUCGGAUACUGGAUGGCUUGAAUCCGGGAGAGGGAUGCGGAAUUCCAGGUGUAGCGGUGAAAUGCGUAGAUAUCAGGAGGAACACCUGUGGUGUAGACAGCUUACUGGACCACGACUGACGCUGAGACACGAAAGCGUGGGUAGCAAACAGG
rnacentral:rRNA from 1 species